rnacentral:rRNA from 1 species
UACGAAGGAGGCUAGCGUUGCUCGGAAUCACUGGGCGUAAAGCGCACGUAGGCGGCUUUUUAAGUCAGGGGUGAAAUCCUGGAGCUCAACUCCAGAACUGCCUUUGAUACUGAAAAGCUUGAGUCCGGGAGAGGUGAGUGGAACUGCGAGUGUAGAGGUGAAAUUCGUAGAUAUUGGGAAGAACACCGGUGGCGAAGGCGGCGCUCUGGACCGAGACUGACGCUGAGGCGCGAAAGCGUGGGGAGCAAACAGG